rnacentral:misc_RNA from 1 species
GUGCUAUGUCCCUAAAAGCAAGGACCUUGUCAUCCUCAAAGACCACCGUAGAUGGAAUUUCCUUAUUAAUGAUUUUGUCAAAUAUGGUGGGGGAAUCGGAGGGAACGGCUGCAAGAGCCGCUUCCUUCUCGGAAGAUGCCAUUGAAAUUGAAAGAGAGUGGGAAAUGUGAGAGCUUGUUACACUUAAAAUCUCUUUGGGUGUUUAACGACGGCA